AUUGAACGCUGGCGGCAGGCCUAACACAUGCACGUCGAGCGAGCGGCGGACGGGUGAGUAAUGUCUGGGAAACUGCCUGAUGGAGGGGGAUAACUACUGGAAACGGUAGCUAAUACCGCAUACCCUCAGAUGUGCCCAGAUGGGAUUGGCUAGUAGGUGGGGUAACGGCUCACCUAGGCGACGAUCCCUAGCUGGUCUGAGAGGAUGACUAGCCACACUGGAACGUAGACACGGUCCAGACUCCUACGAGAGGCAGCAGUGGGGAAUAUGGCACAAUGGGCGCAAGCCUGAUGCAGCCAUGCCGCUUGUAUGAAGAGGGCCUUCGGGUUGUAAAGUACUUUCAGCGGGGAGGCGUUACCCGCAGAAGAAGCACCGGCUAACUCCGUGCCAGCAGCCGCGGUAAUUC
rnacentral:rRNA from 1 species